CGCGGCCUAUCAGCUUGUUGGUGGGGUAACGGCCCACCAAGGCAUCGACGGGUAGCUGGUCUGAGAGGACGAUCAGCCACACUGGGACUGAGACACGGCCCAGACUCCUACGGGAGGCAGCAGUGGGGAAUCUUGCGCAAUGGGCGAAAGCCUGACGCAGCAACGCCGCGUGGGGGAUGAAGGCUCUCGGGUUGUAAACCCCUUUCAGCAGGGACGAAUCAAGACGGUACCUGCAGAAGAAGCCCCGGCUAACUACGUGCCGGCAGCCGCGGUAACACGUAGGGGGCAAGCGUUGUCCGGAUUUAUUGGGCGUAAAGAGCUCGUAGGCGGCUGAGUAAGUCGGGUGUUAAAUCCCCAGGCUCAACCUGGGACACCACCCGAUACUGCUCUGGCUAGAGUCCGGUAGGGGAGCGUGGAAUUCCUGGUGUAGCGGUGAAAUGCGCAGAUAUCAGGAGGAACACCAGCGGCGAAGGCGGCGCUCUGGGCCGGAACUGACGCUGAGGAGCGAAAGCGUGGGUAGCAAACAGGAUUAGAUACCCUGGUAGUCCACGCCGUAAACGUUGGGCACUAGGUGUGGGGUCUAUUCAACGGACUCCGUGCCGUAGCUAACGCAUUAAGUGCCCCGCCUGGGGAGUACGGA
rnacentral:rRNA from 1 species